GGGCGCUUCUAGUAGCGGUGGAAAUUGGGAUUGUGUUUUGAGGUCUUUUUCAGUGCUUGAGAGUUCGCUUUCUGCAGAGGUAUUAUGAUUCCUGAGGGGAGCGUCAGAGAGAUUGAGCUGCCCAGCCUCACCCUAGAACAAGUGUUACUUACCUCUGUGAGGCUGGAUUUUCUUCAGAUACCUCAACCAAAACAACAUAUCAUAACAGACUGA